CUUGGAAACCGGAGCUAAUACCGGAUAAGAUAUCGAACCGCAUGGUUCGAUAGUGAAAGAUGGUUUUGCUAUCACUUAUAGAUGGACCCGCGCCGUAUUAGCUAGUUGGUGAGGUAACGGCUCACCAAGGCAACGAUACGUAGCCGACCUGAGAGGGUGAUCGGCCACACUGGAACUGAGACACGGUCCAGACUCCUACGGGAGGCAGCAGUA
rnacentral:rRNA from 1 species